rnacentral:tRNA from 1 species
GCGGGGUUAGCUCAGUUGGUUAGAGCAUGGUGCUAAUAACGCCACGUUCACAGGUUCAAUCCCUGCUCACUGCA